rnacentral:ncRNA from 1 species
GGUGGCCCCGAAAGUUUUAUUCUAGCUUGAUAUUUUGGUUUGUGGGGAUAUUACAUGUAAUUUUUUUUUUUAAUAUUAUGGUCAUGCAGUAAUUAGAUUUGGAGAUUAAGGGAACUUAGAACCAGGAACUCACAAUUACACAGACUUAUCUUGUGCCAGCAGUUGCGGUUAGACAUGAUGUGUUUCUAAUUUUUUCUUGGUUGAUAAUGAUCUUGUUUGUUAAUAUUUUUUUUUUGUCUUUAUAAGGUGAAAUUUUAUAGAUGAAAUAAUUUUUUUAUUUGAGAGAUGUUAUGAAUUUUUUUUUAAGACUAGGAUUAGAUACCCUAUUAUUUUGAAUGUAAAUUUGUUGACUCCUGACUAGUAUUAGAAGUUCUUAAAAUUUAAAGGAUUUGGCGGUGUUUUAGUCUAUUCAGAGGAACCUGCCCUGUAAUUGAUAAUCCACGAUUAAUUUUACUUUAUCUUUAAGUUUGUAUAUCGUCGUUAUUUGAAUAUCUUUUAAGGGUUAAAUGUUCAGGAUUUAGAAUUUUAGUGUAAAUCAGAUCAAGGUGCAGUUUAUGGUGAAGAAGAGGUGGGUUACAUUAAAUUUAUUUGUGGUAUAUAUUUUGAGAAUAUUAUGUUAAAUUGGAUUUGAUAGUAAAUCAAAUUAUAUAAUUUGUUUGAUUUUGGCUCUAGAACAUGCACAUAUCGCCCGUCACUCCAGUCCUAAGGCUGGAUAAGUCGUAACAUAGUAGGUGUACCGGAAGGUGUACC